rnacentral:rRNA from 1 species
GAGUUUGAUCGUAGCUCAGAUUGAACGCUGGCGGCAUGCUUUACACAUGCAAGUCGAACGGCAGCGCGGGGCAACCUGGCGGCGAGUGGCGAACGGGUGAGUAAUAUAUCGGAACGUACCCAAGAGUGGGGGAUAACGUAGCGAAAGUUACGCUAAUACCGCAUACGAUCUAAGGAUGAAAGUGGGGGAUCGCAAGACCUCAUGCUCCUGGAGCGGCCGAUAUCUGAUUAGCUAGUUGGUGAGGUAAAGGCUCACCAAGGCGACGAUCAGUAGCUGGUCUGAGAGGACGACCAGCCACACUGGAACUGAGACACGGUCCAGACUCCUACGGGAGGCAGCAGUGGGGAAUUUUGGACAAUGGGCGCAAGCCUGAUCCAGCAAUGCCGCGUGAGUGAAGAAGGCC